GCUGGGUGUGGUGGUGCACACCUGUAAUCCCAGCUACUCAGGAGGCUGAGGUAGGAGAAUCACUUGAACCCAGGAGGCAGAGGUUGUAGUGAGCCAAGACCACAGCACUGCAUUCCAGCCUGGGCUACAGAGUGAGACUCCAUCUCAA
ensembl:misc_RNA Metazoa_SRP Metazoan signal recognition particle RNA